rnacentral:lncRNA from 1 species
CGUCCGGUUAUUAUGGAACAUGUUAAUGCCAAAAUUAAGAUUUUUGAAAGAUCUAAACUCUGGGAUAGACCUUGGUGGAUGAACACUAGCACUGGGAGGUUCUCUGUGAAGAGUACAAGGGAAAUAUUGAGGCAUAAGAGGAGGAAAGAUAAACUCAUUGUUAAAAUCUAGAUGUUGGGACUACCUUUUAAUAUUUAUUUUUUAUUGUG